UAUUUUUAUUUUCUAUUCUAUAUUUAUUGUUCUCAUAACCUAAAAAAUAAAAAAAUAAAAAUACGUUACUGUCUUUGCAAUUGAUUGUCAUUCAUUAAUGUCCUAGCGACAGACUCUGACCAUUUUCUAAGAAACAUUAUUAUCCUUUCCGGAACAAUAAAAAAUACUACAACUAUAUGAAUUAUAUAAAGAUAAAUACGGGCAAUAAUAAAAAAAAUUUAAAAGCUGAAAAAAAAAAUUGGUAACAAGUUGAAAGAAGCAUUGAAUAAAAAAAAUCAGAAUUUUUGUUUACCAAUUUGGUUCCCUCACCAUGCUUUGUCCCCGCUGUAUAAUCGAUGUAGUUUGCUGUUGACGACGAUGGAAGCUGCUUUUCGCAAAUAUGUAUUCUUCAAGACAUCGCAUUUCAAGACGGGGAUCCACUGUAUUCCAGGCUCUUAGAAGGCUCUUCAUAAACUGUCAACAUUUGGUCUAUGUAGAACACUAUCAAGGAUCAUACAGUCGCUCUAAAUGGAGAGUUGAGGCUAAAUCAGAAGUAUGCAGGUGUAUUCAUCGUGGAGAUGUUUGAUAUGGAAGUCAGGUCCUAAAAGCUCAAGCUGUUUGAUAGGCUUCUUUCUAUGGAGGAGAGAAAAUCGACCAGAGGCAGGAAGCAGAGAGGUUUUUUUAAUUAUAUACCGUGGCAUAACUUUCUUUAAUGCCUAGCUGGCUAGUAGACACUUUGACCUUACUUUUAUGAUCUUCUUGUUUAAUUUUUAUUUUGCUCUACAAUAUUAUUUUUACAAUAUACUAUUGAGCUUGAUGGUCUAUGUUUAUGUUUUCUUGCAAAUUAUUAAAUGAUUUUGAGCAAAUAAAAAUGUGGUGCCAACUUUGGCCAGAAAAGUAUCCAUGAUAGGCUACAAUAUUCCACUUAAUUCAACCAAUGAUGAAUCCUCAUUUGUAGUAUUUGCUUGUAUAUGUUUACUGUACCUGAUGACUAACGACCCUUAGAAGAAGUUUUCAUACAUAUCUUUACCAAUGAUGACCUGAGUUUUCAUACAUAUCUUUAACAGUAGAAAGGUUUUUCAAAAUGACCCUCAUUUUAUAAAGAGUUUGAAAUGGUUUCCUAUUUACUGAUUUUUUUUUUUUUUUUUCUCCCUCCUUAAGCUUGUAGCUAGUCAAACCUUACCAUCAUUUGAAGCAUAUAUAAGCCAAUUCUAAGUAAUUAGAGUAAAACCUUUCAGGAAAAACCAAAAACAUAAACGUUAUCAAACAAGUGGUUAAUUAGCACAGUUUAUCACAGUUUUUAUAGGGUUUCAGCAAUAUUCUUGGUUCACUGUGGAUUCCCUCUCUCCCAAAAAACAGCUUAUAUUCUUUUUUAUCAGUAAUAUUCUUGUUCACUGUGGAUUCCCUCUCUUCCAAAAAACAGCUUAUAUUCUUUUUUAUAUACUUCAAUUAUUGUUGGCCUUUGAUAUGGAAAUAGAGCUGGAUACUCUGAUGCAAUUCUAAGGAACUGCCAGAUGUCACUAUUAAAUCCAUUCCCAAUCAAAGAAGCACUUCCAUCCAAAAUGGGAGACCGAAACCCGUUUGGAUGGUGAAGUUUUUGGAGCCAUCUUGCUAUGAUGAUGAGAGGACCGCCUUGUUGCAGUUCAAGGAAAGCUUUGUCAUUAGCAAAUCUGCUUCUGCUUAUGAAUUUAGUUAUCCCAAGGUUUUACAAUGGCAAUCUCAAGGAGUAAAUGGCAACAACUGCUGCACAUGGGAUGGAGUCCAGUGUAAUGAGGAGACUGGGGAAGCUACCGCGAUCAUUUUCCAAUUGUAAGAUGCUUGAAGGUAUUGUUGUCUCCAACAAUCGACUGCAUGAUGUUUUUCCAUCUUGGUUGGGGUCCCUUCCAUUCUUUAAGCUUCUCAUACUGCAGUCCAAUGGGUUGUAUGGUGUCAUUGAGAAACCUAAAAGUCAUUCAGAGUUUCCCAAGUUGCAAGUGAUUGAUAUAUCUUUCAAUAAUUCCACUGGUGAGUUGCCAUCACAUUACAUUGUCAGUUGGAAUGCUAUGAAGUCCAUCGACCCCGAUCCUUUUACAUACUUAAGUGUGAGUUUGAACUGUCUUGUUUCAAAAGCUUAUCUGUUUCAAGUUGAAAAUCGUUAUUCAAUCAGACUAACAUCCAAAGGGGUGAAAAGACACUAUGGAGCCAUCCAAGAUAUCUAGGCUUUUAUUGAUCUGUCAAGCAAUAUAUUUGAAGGAGAGAUUUCUGAAUUGUUUGGGAACCUAAAGGCCCUUUACUCGUUGAAUCUCCCAAACAACAUGCUCACUGGCUGCAUCGCAUCUUCUCUGGGUAAUUUAACAGCACUUGAAUCAUUGGACCUUUCUCAAAACAAUCUCUCUGGCGAGAUUCCUCAAGAGCUUAAAGCAACUUGGAUUCCUUAAAAAUUUCAAUGUAUCUCAUAACAAUCUUACAGGGCCUAUACCUGUGGGGAAUCAAUUUAAUGCAUUCGAGAGCAGCUCAUUUGAGGGAAACCCAGGAUUGUGUGGUGAUCUGUUGUUUAAGAAAUGUGGUGAUUUUGUCUCCUCAUCACUGCCACCUUUGGUUUUUCAAGAAAAUGAUGAUUCAGAGUCUUCAGUCAAAUUUGAUUGGAAAUUUGUGGUGACAGGAUUCAAAAGCGGUCUAGUUCUUGGAGUUGUUCUUAGUGACAUUGUGAUCAUAAGGAGGCAUGGAUGGUCUGUCACGUUGCUGUGCAAAAGGAGAUGGCGGAGUAGAAAUCAAAGAAAUCGAAGAUGCAAUGCUAUGGAACUUUCUCUGUUGUGUCUCUGUCUUGGUCUUUUUCAACUACUAUGCACAAAUGCAGUCUUAAGCUUAAUCAGGAUGGUUUUUAGCU